rnacentral:tRNA from 1 species
AAGGUUUUAAGUUAAAAAAACUAAUAGCCUUCAAAGCUAUAAAUAUUAGUAGAAUCUUUUAAGCCUUA